AGAACACAGGUGCUGCAUGGCUGUCGUCAGCUCGUGUCGUGAGAUGUUGGGUUAAGUCCCGCAACGAGCGCAACCCUUGUCAUUAGUUGCCAUCAUUGGUUGGGCACUCUAAUGAGACUGCCGGUGACAAACCGGAGGAAGGUGGGGAUGACGUCAAGUCCUCAUGGCCCUUAUGGGUAGGGCUUCACACGUCAUACAAUGGUCGGUACAGAGGGUUGCCAACCCGCGAGGGGGAGCUAAUCCCACAAAGCCGAUCGUAGUCCGGAUCGCAGUCUGCAACUCGACUGCGUGAAGUCGGAAUCGCUAGUAAUCGUGGAUCAGCAUGUCACGGUGAAUACGUUCCCGGGUCUU
rnacentral:rRNA from 1 species